ensembl:snRNA U2 U2 spliceosomal RNA
AUCGCUUCUCGGCCUUCUGGCUAAGAUCAAGUGUAGUAUCUAUUCUUAUCAGUUUAAACUUCUAAGAUAAAUUAGAAAUCACAUAACUACACAUCUCUUUCCCAAAUACCUUUA